UGCUCGUUGGUGCAAUGGUAGCACAAUGGGGACGACUCCUAGUGAUAAAGGUUCGAUUCCUUUGCGGGCAA
rnacentral:tRNA from 1 species